AGAAUCAACGCUGGCGGCGUGCCUAACACAUGCAAGUCGAACGAGAAAGUGGAGCAAUCCAUUAGUAAAGUGGCGCACGGGUGAGUAACACGUGACUAACCUACCCUUGAGUGGGGGAUAACCUAGAGAAAUCUGGGCUAAUACCGCAUAAUACCUUCGGGUCAAAGGAGCAAUUCGCUUAAGGAGGGGGUCGCGGCCGAUUAGUUAGUUGGCGGGUAAUGGCCCACCAAGACUAUGAUCGGUA
rnacentral:rRNA from 1 species